rfam:Clostridium sp. CAG:43 genomic scaffold, scf291
AAAACAAGUAGAGGUUGCGUUGAUUAUCAGUAAGCGGUCGGAUGCGGCAGGUGCAGGAGAAGACAGCUGAAAGGAUGAUACGCCGAAGGGCUGCGGCGCCUGUAUCUGCAGUUCCUGGGUGCAGGAUGAAGAAUUCUGUAACUGUCAUCGACAGAUGGGGAGCUACUGGGAGU